ensembl:lncRNA
GUUUCCCACCAACCACUGCCUGAAAAUGAGCAUCCACCUCCCCCAGAGCAAUGACCCCUCCACCAGAAUAUGCCACCCCAAAAAGGGUCCUACUCAGUCCCAGUGAUAGUACAGCUCAGCUACUCCUCCCUCUGCUCACCCACAAAGCCAAUUCUAGAUGUGCCCAGUGCUGACAGGGAGCACGACCCAGGGGGAAUGCCUAGGUUCCCUCCCACCAUUCAGACAGCUAAUCUCAACUACUUAUCUCUCAUCCAGAGUCUACAUUCUAGACUAGAAAGGCCUAAGUGUUGGGCUUGGGGGACGGCCUUGCACAGAUUAAAUGCAAGAUACACAUUCUUCCUUUCAACUGGCCCCCUGGUGCUGGCAGGAACCCUGGAUGGAGGAAGGCUGGUGACUGGGUACAGAGAACCCUAUUGGGAGUUCUGGCUCCCCACCGUCCACCAUUACUCCUGCAGGCUCUAAGACCAGCACCCACCUUCUCUGGGCCUUUAUUUUUGCUUCCCUCUCAGUAAGAGGGAGGGAGGGUGAGGACUGAGGGAGGGAGGGUUAGCUGCUUUCUAGUCCUCCACUUAAAGGAUUUCUUAAAAUGCACGAGUCUGGCAGAGGUAAGCCACAAAGUCACUAACACUUUAGCAAGAAUGAGUUGUCUUGGGAGGCGAACAAUUUAGAAAAGGUGGAGGUGGUGGAAAGCAAAGUUAAGUGAGCAUGGUACUUGGAAAGUAACUCAGAGAUGACCCUACAUUUUUGAAUUCUGUGUUGAAGGCUGGAAGGCGUGGAUCCCUGGGAAGAGAUGGGAAGCCAGAGAUCUUUCAGUCCCCCUAGCACCCCGGAGUCCCAAAGACACUGCUCUGUCCCAGUACUUAAGCACAAUUCUACUGACUAUCUCAUCCAACAUACCCCAGACCCGCAACAUCAUGUCCCCAACACAGUAACAUUUACACUGUCAUCUCCACUCUCCGCAUUUUAUUUAGUCUUCUCUGGCCUGCAGUUCCCGCGUGCAAAUGGCCUUCCUCCAUGUCGUCGUCCGGCUUCAGAAAAUUCCCCAUCCUUCAAAAGCCCUGAUGAAGCGGCCCCCAAAAGGGCCAGCUCAGAUCCCACCCCAGGGACCAGGAAAUCAGACUCCUCUCCCUGAGCCCCUUAAAACUUUAUCCACACCUUUUCCCCAGCACUUGGCAUAUCCUAUCUUGGAUCAGGUUUGGCUCCUUUGGCUCCUCGGUUGACUGAGCGCUCCCUGAGAGCAGGAACUGGGCCUCCUCCGCCUCUCUAACCCAACAACCCAGCAGGGCGCCUGGCACACAGUGGGUGCUCGAGAAAUGCUGGAAGAAGGGGAACGCGGAGUCGGGAGCCAUCUAUCUCAAUUACGGCUCGGCCUCUGCUUCUUUGCCCAUCUAAGAACACAACUCUAGAGAACUGGGCCAUCAGACACUUUUCUUCGGGUUUUGCAGCGGGUGGGGACUCUGAGCGAGUGAGACACAUUUCUACAGCUUCCAGCCUGCACAGGACCGCAAUGACAUCGCUGUUGUGAUGACGACUUACCCUUCUCAAGUGCUUAUCACCCUGGGAGGCGCUUAACUUGGCAAAGCCGACACAGAAGGACGUCAUGCUCCCUGCUUCAAGCUCCCAGUCCCCGGCAUGGCCUCCUCCUGCCAUCGCAGGGUGGGGAGAAAGCAUUUGCAGGCUCAAGCACGGUGGAGCAAAUGGUGGGUCUCCUUGGGGCUCUUUCACAGACACCUGGAGUCUCCAUCAUGAAAGGUCAACUGACUGCAAGCCUGUUGUUUUGAUGACCGACAUGAAAUUCUAUUGGUUAAAAAUGUGAGAAGCC